AAUCAAUCAAUAAAGGGCAUAUGGUGGAGACCUAGGGACCUAGAGCCGAUGAAGGGCGUGACAACCGACGAUAUGCCUCGGGGAGCAGGACGUAUGCACUGAUCCGAGGAUUCCCGAAUGGGGCAACCCAAUGCAUUCCUUCUUGAAUUCAUAGAGAAGAGAAAGACAACUUGGUGAACUGAAACAUCUUAGUAGCCAAAGGAAAAGAAAGCAAAAGCGAUUCCCAAAGUAGCGGCGAGCGGAAUGGGAACAGCCUAAAAGGACUUUGACAGCAAUGUAAAGACCAGGUCAUGGGACCAAACAGAUGGCAUUGUCUGGAAUGAGAAACGAAACAGCUGAAACCUGUACCAUAGAUGGUGAAAGUCCAGUCGUUGUAUCACUACCAACGAAAGCCGUUUGGCUCCCGAGUAGUAUGGGACACGUGAAAUCCCGUAUGAAUUUGCGAGGACCACCUCGUAAGGCUAAAUACUCCUAGGUCACCGAUAGCGAAUAGUACCGCGAGGGAAAGGUGAAAAGAACCCCUUUACGGGGAGUGAAAUAGAACAUGAAACCGUAUGCUUACAAUUUGUGGGAGGAUGAACACAUCUGACCGCAUGCCUGUUGAAGAAUGAGCUGGCGACUUAGAAGAAGUGGCAGGUUAAGAUUUUCCAUCGAAGCCAAAGCGAAAGCAUGUCUGAUAAGGGCUCUCGUCCCUUCUUCUAGACCCGAACCCAGGUGAUCUAACCAUGACCAGAAUGAAGCUUUGGUGAUACGAAGUGGAGGUUCGAACCGACCGAUGUUGAAAAAUCGACGGAUGAGUUGUGGUUAGGGGUGAAAUGCCAAUCGAACUUGGAGCUAGCUGGUUCUCCUCGAAAUGCGUUGAGGCGCAGCGGUUGAUUAUGGGCUUCCAGGGGGUAAAGCGCUGUCUCGGUGCGGGCUGCGAGAGCGGUACCAAUCUGUUGCAAACUCGGAAUACCUGGAAUGCUUUCAAUCAGCCAGUGAGACUGCGGGGGAUAAGCUCCGUAGUCAAAAGGGAAACAGCCCAGACCACCAGCUAAGGCUCCUAAAUAAAAGCUAAGUGGCAAAGGAGGUGAAAGUGCAGUGACAAUCAGGAGGUUUGCCUAGAAGCAGCCACCCUCUAAGGAGUGCGUAAUAGCUCACUGAUCAAGCGCUUUUGCGCCGAAAAUGACCGGAACUAAGCUUUUUGCCGAAGCUGUGGCUACAUCACACUGAUGAUGUAGGGUAGAGGAGCGUUCCGCCCAGGGGGAAGCCAAGCGCGUAAGCCGCGGUGGACAGGGCGGAAGUGAGAAUGUCAGCUUGAGUAACGUAAACAUUGGUGAGAAUCCAGUGCCCCGAAAACUCAAGGGUUCCUGCGCAAGGCUCGUCCGCGCAGGGUCAGUCAGGACCUAAGGUGAGGCCGAAAGGCGUAAUUGAUGGCAAGAAGGUUUAUAUUCCUUCACUAGUCUAGGCUUAGUCCUGAGGGACGAACAAAUUACACUCGAUACAAUUGCCAUGCUUGGCAGCAUGGAACAAUCAAUUCGUGUCUGAUGGUAUUUUUUCCAAGAAAAGCUCAUUCGACUUCGAGUCUAGACUACCUGUACCGUAAACCGACACAGGUGAGUGGGUUGAAUAAACUAAGGGGAGCGAGAUAACUCUCUCUAAGGAACUCGGCAAAUUGGCUCUGUACCUUCGGAAGAAAGAGUGCCCCUCACGGGGCCGCAGUGAAGAGAUCCAGGCGACUGUUUACCAAAAACACAGGUCUCCGCAAAGUCGUAAGACGAUGUAUGGGGGCUGACACCUGCCCAGUGCCAGAAGGUUAAAGAAGUUGGUCAAUCUUUGAUGAAGCUAACAACUGAAGCCCUGGUGAACGGCGGCAGUAACUAUAACUGUCCUAAGGUAGCGAAAUUCCUUGUCGGGUAAGUUCCGACCCGCACGAAAGGUGUAACGAUCUGGAUACUGUCUCAGAGAGAGACUCGGUGAAAUAAAACUAUCUGUGAAGAUGCGGAUUACCUGCACACGGACAGAAAGACCCUAUGAAGCUUUACUGUAACCUGGAAUUGCUCUCAAGCUUAUCUUG
rnacentral:rRNA from 1 species